rnacentral:rRNA from 1 species
UACAGAGGCCUCGAGCGUUAGGCGGAAUCACUGGGCUUAAAGCGUGUGUAGGCGGACUUCUAAGUACCUUGUGAAAUCCCACGGCUUACCCGUGGAACUGCUCGGUAUACUGGUUGUCUUGAGCCAUCUAGGGGCUACCGGAACAAAUGGUGGAGCGGUGAAAUGCGUAGAUAUCAUUUGGAACGCCAAUGGUGAAAACAGGUAGCUGGGGGAUGUGGCUGACGCUGAGACACGAAAGCCAGGGGAGCGAAACGGG